rnacentral:rRNA from 1 species
UAACGUGUGGGCAACCUGCCCUGUACUGGGGAAUAAUCAUUGGAAACGAUGACUAAUACCGCAUGUGGUCCUCGGAAGGCAUCUUCUGAGGAAGAAAGGAUUUAUUCGGUACAGGAUGGGCCCGCACCUGAUUAGCUAGUUGGUGAGAUAACAGCCCACCAAGGCGACGAUCAGUAGCCGACCUGAGAGGGUGAUCGGCCACAUUGGGACUGAGACACGGCCCAA